CUAAACUCAGCGCAAAACGAUCAUUUCACAGGGUUUGCUCGAUAAAAACACUGGCCUCUCUCAGGUGGGCGGAAUUAGUCAGUUUCUCAAUGAAUUCAACGUCAACUAAGCCCGUUGCAAUCACCUAACGGCUGAUGCAGAACACUAAAGCUAACGAAAAGCCAACCGUUGAUUUCUUAUGACACACUAAUAUUUAGCAAGUGCUCAUUAUCGAAAUAUUUGUACUCUCUCCUAUGACAGAUUGUGCUGAAAAAGACUUUAGGAAACUGUCGCUACUUGACAUUAUUACUGUAAAGAUACAAAGCUACCCAGGAGGACAGCCACGGAUCGAACCACAAACCAAGUAUACUAAUUUCUCCUACACUUCCGUGAACUUAAAGGAGCAGUGUGGAGGAUUUAGUGGCAUCUAGUGGUGAAAUUGCAGUUUGCAACCAUUUGAAUACCGCUCGCCUCACCCUCCCCUUCCAAGCCUGUAGGAGAAACUACGGUGGCUGCGAAAACGCAAGAGGCCCUAUCUACAGACAAUAAUUGGUUUGUCCAUUCUGGGCUACUGUAGAAACAUGGCGGCGCAACAUGGCGGCCUCCGUGGAAGGGGACCCGCUCCCUCUGUAGAUAAAAACGGCUUAUUCUAAGCUACUGCACUGCAGCGGUGGAAAGUAACUGAAGUACAUUUACUCAAGCACUGUAAGUACACCUUCGAGGUAAACUGAGAUCACAUUUCAGCAUCAGGUGCCGACGGAGUGGAAAUCAAAGCCCUCAGGUUCCUCCUGGUUUGUUUGAGUGCAGAGCUCAGGGGCUGUGUAAUGAAGAUGAGUCUCGGGAGGCCUGAAGCAGCAGGAAGAGACACCUGCUGAGCUCAGCUUGAUUGAUCCAGAGUCUCAUUGGAAACCUUCAUCUAUCUGGGGAAAGACGAGUGAACGCAGAGCUCUUUGUCUCAGCUCCAAACGCACAACCUCAGUCUGCUGCUGGUCCGCAGUGCAUGUCGAGGAAGCCGAGCGUUUCACAUUUACUUCAUGUUUGUGCACUGAAAAUGGUCUGCCCCUGUCUCCAACCUCAUUUCCACUUCCCCCGGGCCCCCUUGCAUCUCCAUGAAGCUUUGCAGUCAUUGCCAUCCUCCACCUCCUCAGUCUCCACCUGCUCCUGGCCAGAUCGCCUGUGUUGCUCAUAGCCUUUGCUUCCAGCCACCUGUUGCCUGUUCCCGACCUGCUCAGCACUCGUGCCCUCUUGUUCGGUCCCGUUGCCAACUUGUCAGCCUGUUUCUGACCAUUGCCUUCAGUAAAAAUGUCCCUUCAUCCUACCUGCUUGCCUUAUGUGUGUGUGAGUUUGUCCUCCCUCUGUUUCACUACCUGUGACAACGUAUAGGCUUGAAGCAUCCCUUCACAGGUAGCUCAGUAAGAACCAGAGGACAUGAUGGUCCAAGCCACUCUGACUCAUACUGAGCUUCAGAUCUGUGGCAUUAAAGGGCACUCCAGGGAUUUUGUGUUGCACUUAACCCUGAAGUUGGGCGAUAAACAAGAGACAGAUUAAAAAAAGAACUGAAGCAGCAGAGGCCGAGAUAUCCUGACUUUUAGUCCCUACUAUGUUUGUAAUAUAUGUUAAAAAUCUGUAGUCUUUAAGCCUAAACUGAGAUUGCAUCACUACGACAUCAUCAGGGUUAUUUUCUCCUCCAGAGCCACAGAAGACAUGAUACAACUAGUAAACUGAUGCAGGUGAAGUUACUCGUCAAAUGUCUCUAAAAGGAGGCGAAUCUUCAUGAAAGAUCAGUACUAUGCCCACUGUACGGCUGGCUGAGACUUUAUUUUGUAGGUCCUGCUAGAUGAUCAUUGGCCAGAGAAGGCUGGUGCGAUGUUUUAUGAUUAAUGAUACUGAUAAAACCUCUUUCCUUUGUCUACACGAGGGCACUUCACUUAACGGACCAACAUUAUAUUUAUAUUAUAUUUUUUAAACAGAGCAUCAUCAUCAUCUUGUGUGCAGCUGGUUAUAACGUCCUGUAGACGUGUAGACGUCAGCGCUGUGGCUCACGACUCCUUCAGAUGAAGAGAUGCUGACCUGCGACUCCCAUCACAUCCCAAAACUCACUCCACUCACGUUUUUGAUGCACCCAUACACUUUAGUCCCGAAGACAUGACAUUUCAUUUCAGCUGUAAUGACAAAUAAACAUGAACUUGAAGAGACAGAGUGGUGAUUUCAUUUGAUUAUAAAAUGGGGUUUCAGUGCAGAAAGCUAUAAAUUACUUAACAUCAAAAAAGUUCCAUUAAUACAAUGGCUGAAAACCACAGGCCUUGACGCUCACAGCUCAGGAGGUGGAAUUUUUAUGGUGUUAUAGCAUCAUUUAAUGUUUAUCUGAUGGCGGAUGUUUUUGUAUGAAGGGAAAUGAAAACUACCAGGUGAAAAUUGGUCUGUGUUGCGUUCAGCUCAUUCAUCUAAGUGUUGCUGGGUUGGAUCCACUGACUGUAUAUAAAGAUGGACGACAUGACAGCGCCCCAAAAGUGUAGCCACAACAUCUUGAUCGCCCCCUGGUGGCUGGCUGCAGUAUAGGUCAUAAACCCCGCCCCCUCCAUGUUAGCGGAUGUGACAUGAGCCAAACUAAAAACCCAAAGUACACGUCAAAUAAAUUUUUCCCAAAGAUGGUUUCUGUCGGCUCAGGUAGUUCUUAUCACGCUGAUGUUUGUUCAAGUGUUUGU